GUGAGGAAUAUUGGGCAAUGGGCGCAAGCCUGACCCAGCAACGCCGCGUGGAGGAAGACGGCCUUCGGGUUGUAAACUCCUUUUACGGGGGAAGAGGAAGGACGGUACCCCGAGAAUAAGUCACGGCUAACUACGUGCCAGCAGCCGCGGUAAUACGUAGGUGACAAGCGUUAUCCGGAAUUACUGGGCGUAAAGCGCACGCAGGCGGCGCGGUAAGUCUGAUGUGAAAUCUCCCGGCUUAACUGGGAGGGGUCAUUGGAAACUGCUGUGCUCGAGGCGAUGAGAGGGGUGUAGAAUUCCCGGUGUAGUGGUGGAAUGCGUAGAUAUCGGGAGGAAUACCAGUGGCGAAAGCGACACCCUGGCAUUAGCCUGACGCUCAUGUGCGAAGGCGUGGGGAGCGAACGGGAUUAGAAACCCCAGUAGUCC
rnacentral:rRNA from 1 species